CUGCACUGAUUCAUUCACGAGCAACUGACACUCCACAAGCCAAAGUGUGAUGCAAAGUGAUAAAAGGCUCAGGAAUAUCUUCUUAAAAUCAGAGGUGUAUUAAUACAGGAUUUGUACCUUGAUACCUUUUUGCUGCAAGACAGAUAUUUC